rnacentral:misc_RNA from 1 species
UUCUUGCGUGAGGGUUGAAGUGGAGCUCUUUUUUGUGAAGAUUUUUCGAAACAAAAAAAGCGGGAACGGAAGCCCGACCUGAA